GCAAGAAAUUUAUUUGGAUAAAGAAAUUAUUGCAAUAUUUGUAAUUUUAAUUUAAUUCUAAUUUUAAUCUCCAAUUAUCUAAGAUAUAUUGGGUUGUUGCAAAUGAAAUAGCUGUUGGAUGACAUCAGGUUUUUAAUGGCUACAGAAGAAAGUAAGCACUGAGAUUUAUAUAAAUUUUUUGUUAUAUGACAAUGUCGCACGUGGAUGAUGCAAUUGUAGUAUUUGUUUUUGUUCAACAAGCAUUAAAUAUUGAAUACUGCCAACAUCAAAUCAAUCAUGGAACCCAGUCAAUUAAGGUUGCUAUACCUUUACAAGUUCAAAUUGGGAAAUUCUGCAGUGACUGCAGUAAAAAAAUAUCAUCAUCAAUAAAGCAUUCAGUAGAGGAAGCUUGGUUGUCUUAGACUUAAUAUUAGAAGGUUUUUUAAUAAAGCUAAAUGACAGGUGAAUAGGACACACAGCAGUGCUCUCACCUGUUAUAAUAAGGCCAUCAGAAAAGCUAAAAAGUCUUCCUGGAAAUGAUAUUGUUGGGAAACUGAAGAUAUACCUGAUGUAUCCAGACUUGUGAAGAUAAUGUCCUAAGGAAAUUAUUGCAAGAUUGGCACUAUCAG
rnacentral:lncRNA from 1 species